rnacentral:rRNA from 1 species
CCUACGGGAGGCAGCAGUAAGGAAUAUUGGGCAAUGGAGGCAACUCUGACCCAGCCAUGCCGCGUGAAGGAUGACUGCCCUAUGGGUUGUAAACUUCUUUUGUAUGGGAAUAAACCUCGGUACGUGUACCGAGCUGAAUGUACCAUAAGAAUAAGCAUCGGCUAACUCCGUGCCAGCAGCCGCGGUAAUACGGAGGAUGCAAGCGUUAUCCGGAUUUAUUGGGUUUAAAGGGUGCGUAGGCGGGAUUGUAAGUCAGUGGUGAAAUCCUUCAGCUCAACUGAAGAACUGCCAUUGAUACUGCAGACCUAGAGUACAUUUGAAGUGGGCGGAAUGUGUCAUGUAGCGGUGAAAUGCUUAGAGAUGACACAGAACACCAAUUGCGUAGGCAGCUCACUAAACUGUAACUGACGCUGAGCACGAAGACGUGGAGUACAACAGAUAGUAUACCUACGUAGUACGACGACCGUAACUAUAGAUCACUCGUAUGUUGGUCG